GAAAUGGUGGGUAAGUGGUGAAGGUUUUGGACUACUGAUCAGAAGGUUGUGAGUUCAAAUCCCAGCACAUCCUA